rnacentral:misc_RNA from 1 species
GUGAAUCAUCAAAUUUUUGAACGCAAAUUGCGCUUCCUGGCAUCACGGGAAGUAUGCCUGUGUGAGGGUCAGUAUUAAUAAAAAAUCGGCUUAGUUACAAAUUGUGAUGUUUCGGGAGUUUGGGCUAUUUUAACAUUUUUGGUUAAGAGGCUUAAAAUUGACCUUUUUUGUGCAUUUUCAAAUGUAAAUAAAUUACUUUAUACGUCUAUUCUUAAUGCCAAAAUAUUAUUAGAUGCGAUUACAUCGUGUGGCUUCGAGUAAAUAAAAUUUUAAUGAUUUGACCUCAA